UGCAUCUCUCUCUUCACCUCUUUCUCUCUCACAGAGAAUCUCGGCCAGAAAAUUUUCAAUCGAUUCACAGUUCUUCAUCAUCGUAGUUGUUUAGGAUUUUAAACCAUUAAUCUUAGUAACUUGUUCUCAUAAUCGAUUUCAUUUAUUCGUCAUCAUCAAAAACAAUUUAAUUACGGUUUUGUGAGAAAAAAUUAGAGAAAGAUGAGAUCUCAGUGAAGAACAAUUUGAUCUCUAGUUUCAAUAUGAAGCAAUUGAAGAAAGAAACUCAUCUACAUGUUGAAAACAAAAAUCAUUAACUCUUUCAUUUUUGCUGCUGCAAAUCUUCAUCAUCUUUUUCGUCGUCGACUAAUCAUCUUUAUCAUCUUUUUUUGAUUCUAGUGUAGUAAUCUAAAUGGGAAAGAAAAAUCCUAGAAAAAAAUAAGAAAGAAAUUGAACCAGAUUCAGAAAGAACUUAAACAGAAGAAGAAAAACAUUGUUUCAAGUAAAAAAACCAAAAAGAGGAAGAUUAAAUAAAAAGAAUAAAUCCACAUCUAAGAAACGUACUAAUACAAAAAUCGAUCGCGAUGAAGAGAAGAUAUUGUUGGUACAAAGCAUGUGAAGGUGAUCUAAUUUCUUUGUCUACCUUGUUUUCUUUAGUUUUGUACACCGAGUUUAAGAGGUGAGAGAAAUCUCGAGAACUAAUUUUGUACACUUAGUUAAGGGUGAGAAAAAUCCUAAGAACAUAAGGAUGGAUUUGCAGUAUAGUUGGAUAUUAUGAAAAUAAUGUCAAGUAUAUCGAACCAUGUCGGUGUCGACACUAAUGGAUUAUAGUAUGCUCAGGCUGAAUAUAGUUUAGUAUGCCACUUUGUUGGCUUUUCAUUCAGUUGAUGUAAAUUUUGUUAAUCUAUUUUCUUUUCUAUCGUUUCAAAUUAUACCAUAACUUUCAUUUUUACAUUCUA